UCCAUGGUGGUCCAGUAGUUAAGACUUUGUGCUUCUAUUGCAGGGGGCACAGGUUUGACCCCUGUUUGGGGAA
rnacentral:tRNA from 1 species